rnacentral:tRNA from 1 species
GUUAGAGUGGCAGAGCCCGGCAAAUGCAAAAGACCUAAGCCCUUUGAACAGAGGUUCAAAUCCUCUCCCUAACU